CCUGGUCUUCCCAAAUUCUUCAGGAGACUCUAGUCAGGAAAUUUCCGGCUUGGUGGUAACGUAAGAGUCUCCUCCAGAUCAAGCCCCUGGAGAAGAUCUCCUUUAUUAACAUGAGAAGUGACCAGGUGACCCCACUCUGGCCAGGGAACCAUGGCUGAAGUCCUCAGGGGAUUUGUGGGGAAGCGGCGCCCCCCUCCUCCUUGGGGUUUUCUUGCAGAGCUGCUGUGAAGAAUCAAACGCAGCUGUGAUAAUUAUCCAAGGUCAGCUCUUCCAGAAUGUCCUUAUCUCCUAAGGCCUUUGAGAUAAGCAGGAAUUGUGGUGUCUGCCUUGCCUCCAAACCUUUAUCCUUGCUUAUCUCAGUGGAAAAUUCCAGCAGGGAUUUCUGAACACCAAGUUAAAUUCCUCCACUCAACAAUCAGUUUGGCGCGUGGCUGCCCGCCAGGCUGGGCAGAGCAGAGCGGAGCCAAAGGAAUAAACCCAAGUCCUGCCCCCAGGUGCCCAGAGUCUGGCGAGGAUAGGACAGUUGCCUGCAGAGCAAGAGACUGCCGCCCGGGUUCACACAGGCCAGAGAGGCUGACCUACCUGCCCAGAGGCAGGGGAAGAAUCCAGAGGACCUCUCCUAGGAAGAAAUGUUGGCACAGGCACGAGAAGCCCACGUGGCAGCCAAGAGGAGGGACAGCAUCCUGGGCCCCAGAAUGCCAGGGGCAGAUGUGCACUGGGAGGCGCGGGGCUGGGGACACCAUCAGUGAGCACAGGGUCUGGGUAGGCUGCGGGAGGGGUGAGAGUGGAGAGACAGCCAAGCCGGGUUGUGGGAGGCCCUGCCUAAUUCUGUAAAAACUAGGAUUAGAAACAUAACAAAAAUGGGCUGGGCACGGUGGCUCACACCUGUAAUCCACUUUGGGAGGCUGAGCCCAGUGGAUCACAUGAGGUUGAGAGUUCAAGACCAACCUGGCCGACACGGUGAAACCCCAUCUCUACUAAAAAUACAAAAAUUAGCCAGGCAUGGUGGCACACACCUCUAAUCCCAGGUACUAAGGAGGUUGAGGCCAAGAAUUGCUUCAACCCAGGGGGCAGAGGUUGCAGUGAGCCCAGACUAUGCCACUGUACUCCAGCCUGGGCAACAGAGCAAGUCUCUGUCUGAAAAAU